CUACGGGGCGCUGCAGUAAGGAAUAUUGCGCAAUGGAGGCAACUCUGACGCAGCCAUGCCGCGUGCAGGAAGAAGGCCUUAUGGGUCGUAAACUGCUUUUAUUUAGGAAUAAACCCUCGCUCGUGAGCGAGGCUGAAGGUACUGAAUGAAUAAGCACCGGCUAACUACGUGCCAGCAGCCGCGGUAAUACGGAGGGUGCAAGCGUUAUCCGGAUUUAUUGGGUUUAAAGGGUGCGCAGGCGGGCUAUUAAGUCAGUGGUGAAAUCCCGGGGCUCAACCCCGGAACUGCCAUUGAUACUGAUAGUCUUGAGUUUGGUUGAAGUGGGCGGAAUGUAGCAUGUAGCGGUGAAAUGCAUAGAUAUGCUACAGAACACCAAUCGCGAAGGCAGCUCACUAAGCCAAAACUGACGCUCAUGCACGAAAGCGUGGGGAUCAAACAGGAUUAGAUACCCCUGUAGUC
rnacentral:rRNA from 1 species